GUGUGUGCGCGUGCAGGAGGCUGUGAGGCGCCACAGCGCCAUUUUCUGUCUUUAAACGCUUUAAAAAUGGAGAUUUUUUGGUGAUUUUGUGUAAAUUUUGGCAGCUUUUAGUGAGUCUGUGCUGUUAAAAUCACUGAAGCAUCGAGUGUUUGUGUGUAUUCGGUACAUUAGUGAUGUUUAAAGCUUGUUGGUGCCUAAUGCUAACCGGUUAGCCUGUGUGAGUAGAAUGGUGAUGUCUGAUGGAGUGCAGUAGCUUUACAUGAUGGACAUUUCAGAAAAUCUUCUCUGCUUUCUGGUUGUGGUGGUGAAAUCAUCUGCUGAACUGCUGCUGCCGUGGAGAGAAACAGAAAUAAAGACAAAAGCAUCAUAAGGUUGUCUCAAAGUUGGAAAAAGGUAAAGGUGAUCGUUCGUUAAUACAUUUUCAAGGAGUAUUUUAGUGAAAGUAUUUUGGUCAGGGGAGCAAACUGACUACAAAAAUGAAUCAGGAAUAAAUAAACCUCUGAGCUAGUCCUCAUGCUAAUGUAAUGCAGAUCAAGUAAUCAAGUUUAUUUAUUGAUGGGGCAUAAAGGCAUAUGGCUGUUGCUGAGCAAGUAAAGUAAAAACAAAAUACUGUGUUUCUCCAGCAGGAACAGCUCCACGUACCAUGUGGACGGAUUUGGUUGAAUUCCUCCUUACAGAAUUAACCUUGUUGGAUUUUGUUCAAUUUCUUUUAAAUGAAGUCCUAAGGAAAGGUACAAAUAUUAGCCCCACCCUUACAUCACCAUCAGUCCACCCCUACACCUGAACAUCUUUAAAUUUUCAUACAAAUUGAAUUGUGUGAAAUGUUAGAAAUGUGCAAAUCUGAGACCGUAUCAGUUACAAUGUCUGGGUUUCUAAUUCCAUUAGAGAUAAUCAUUCAUUUUUACUGCAAAUGAAUAACUUUAAAUAAUGAUGGCAGAUGAAGCUUCAUGAAACACUGAAGCUAUCCAGCUAAUUGCGUUGAAAUGGUUCAUUUCUUGAGGCUUCACUUGUUCACGAGAGAAACCUGCUGGUCAAACUAUUAAUCAUAUAAUCAUCCAGACAAUACACAGGCUGGUGCACAGCAGUUCAUCAAACCAGGCUGAUAUAAAGAUACAUUUGUAAGUAUAUUCUAAAUAUCGAUAUUUUGAAGAAUGUUGAUUUUCUGGAAUUUCUUUUCCUCAUUAUACACAUCCAUUUGUCCCCAUUGUGUUUGUAUGUAUGUUUUAAAAGUAUAAGUCGUUUUGCUGAUGUUUCCCAGAACUAAUUGGCGUGACUGUUGUAAUGUGUGUGUAAGGUAAAGCCUAUUUUGAGUGCUUCUCAUUGCAAGAGGUUCACGAGUCUGACUCAAGGCGCAUAAAACUGGAUGCUAUAAAUCUUACAAUAUCACAGGAUCAGUUAAUUUUUCAGUACUCCACUCAGUUAUUGAUCCUCUGUUUGUGUAAUUUUGUGUAAAUGUGUGUGUUCCAUGGGUGGAAGUGGUCUGUCCCAGAAUAAAACUCCUCACGAAUGCA